NNNNCACCUGUGUGUUAUAGAUUAUUUCCUAUUGUAAGAAGUUGCUUCAAAAUUUUGAGAAACAAGAAGGCAAUGAGUAUACAAACCAACAAACAUCUUCUCAAACUCCUCCAGAAUCAAUAAAAAAAAAAAACCAAAUAUUUUGUACAAUUCCAGCCAUUGUUUGCUCGGACAAGAUGCUACUUCAUAUACUUGACAUGUUAUCCAUGAUUGCACAAAAGGGACAAAAUUCAGAUCUAAUAUUCUGAUUCUUCUCGAGAGAAUCACACUGGUCCCUGAGGGAUAAGAUUUACACUGAACAGCUGAUUAACUGGAAUGAAGAAUCUGUGCUAAUAUUAGCUUCUGUUUUUAAGGAUUAUAUUAAAAAUAUAAAAGGAAGCUUGCUUUAUUCAGGCUUAUAUGAAAAUUGGGUUAGCGUACUUGAUGAAGAUUCUCUACUUGCAAAAAUGUCUGCUAUACAGAGAUGUCUAUUAUACAAAUCAUGAUUGACAACUGUGGAGAUAUAUUUGGUAACAAUGACCAUAUAAUUUGUAAUGAUAAUCAGAAAAGGUCAGAUGACAUAAAGACUCCACUAAAAUUCUGCUGCAGGAGAUAAUGAAACUUCAACAUAUAAAUUUCCACAACAGAAACUUCCUCAUGACUAAAGA
ensembl:lincRNA Gm6639 predicted gene 6639